GAAGAAGAAGAGUGGGCGGGGCUUCGAUGUAUGCAGCAUUUUUCCAGCUUGUGAGGGGAAAAUGAAAGGAACAUGCAAUCUGUGUUAGUUCUUUAAAAAUAUGAUAAAGUAUACCCAGUAAUCUGGAUGACAAAUCGUUGUGCUCGUCUGGGAUGCUUAUCUACUUUGUUUGAAGGAAACGGACAGUUGUUUCUUUAGCCAGUUGUUUUAUUGACCGGGAUAAUCUCCUCGUCCAUGGGAAAAGAUUUCUCUCUGAUGAGUCGUGACGCCGAAUAGUCUUCACUGGAUCCCGUAUCUGCUGAACUGUUAGCUGCUUGAACUUGUCGCCCUGUACAGUUGUCUGUCGUUUGAGGCCACUGGACUACAUACAGCCUCUCAGGAAUGUGGAUCCAUCACUCUCGCAUUCACCUGCAAUUCCCACUAAGAGGGCACCCAGCAACACAGGCGGAAAUGAGAAAGACUAUAGCCCUAAUGAGAGUGCUCCAAAACCCCUUGCAAAAAAGGCCAAGAAAAACAUUCAGACAAGCAACAGGCAUUCAGCUCUGUCAUGGAAAACAGAUAAUGACACUGACAUGGUUCCACAGACUCUGAGAUUCCUACCUGCACGGGAACCUGGACCACAGCUGCGUCCUGCUGAUGAACACACUCCUAAGAGUCUCUUCAAAAUGUUCAAAAUGCAAGGAAUAAUGCCACCGCUGGUCGUCGGAACUGCAUGCUUUGCAAAGUACAGCUUGGUAAAAGGCAAGACACACCUUGGAAAUGCCAGGCAUGUGACAUUUUCUUGUGUCUUCAGUUGAAAAGGAACUGUUUUCAAAAAUGGCACACAGAUGUGUGACUGUUCAGAUUCUCUGUUCACCACCUCUCACUGACCAUUGGGCUGCAAAGAUUAUCUAUAUGUGAUCAAGCAGGUUAUGUAUAGGGUGUAAAAGUGGGCUUUUUUUAUAAACCUUACCUUUAUUUGCCUGUAUACACAAAAUGUGCCUUUGACCCUAGUUUAUAUGUGGAUUAUAUUGUUAACUUUAUUUUAAAUAAAAAAGAAAAAAAAACAAUGAUAUGUCUUGUCUUUGCAUUUUCUUAGUUGACUCAGUCACAUUCCUGACUGAAUGGCUCAUUAUGCGGCUCAUUAGGGGCAGGGUCUUAAUCUCCCCAGGUGUAAAUCACUUCAUUAUUCAUGAAGAGUCACACCUCUUCGCAUAUGGCCUACCUAAACAAAAAGUGUCUUAGAAAUUUAAAAUCAAUACAAUGUUUUAUGUGUCAGAGUAGGGAGGAUCAUUUCCACAUCAUUUUGAAGCAAAAACUCUACACUAAAAU